rnacentral:rRNA from 1 species
UGAUGACGAGACGCUAAGGCGUUGAAGCAGUGUAUGUCAGACUUCCAAGAAAAGCUCGCAAUGUCACAAUAAAAAAUGCCUGUACCAUAACCGACACAGGUGGGUAGGUAGAGUAUACUAAGGGGCGCGAGAUAACUCUCUCUAAGGAACUCGGCAAAAUGACUCCGUAACUUCGGGAGAAGGAGUGCCUUAUUUAUAAGGUUGCAAUAACAAGAUCCAAGCAACUGUUUUACAAAAACACAGGUCUCCGCUAAGUCGUAAGACGAUGUAUGGGGGCUGACGCCUGCCCAGUGCCAGAAGGUUAAAGAAGUUGGUUAGUGUAUGCGAAGCUGAUGACUGAAGCCCUGGUGAACGGCGGCCGUAACAAUAACGGUCCUAAGGUAGCGAAAUUCCUUGUCGGGUAAGUUCCGACCCGCACGAAAGGCGUAAUGAUUUGGAUACUGUCUCGGAGAGAGGCUCGGUGAAAUAGACUUGUCUGUGAAGAUGCGGACUACCUGCACCAGGACAGAAAGACCCUAUGAAGCUUUACUGUAACUUGAAAUUGGAAUUGGACUUUGCUUGCGCAGUAUAGGUGGGAAGCGUUGAAAAUAUUCUUGCGGGAGUAUUGGAGCUAUCAGUGAGAUACCACUCUUGUAAUGUUAGAUUUCUAACUUUGAACCAUAAUCUGGUCAAAGAACAGUUUCAGGUGGGCAGUUUGACUGGGGCGGUCGCCUCCCAAAUGGUAACGGAGGCGUACAAAGGUUUCCUCUGAACGGAUAGAAAUCGUAUCUAGAGUGUAAAGGCAUAAGGAAGCUUGACUGUGAGACCUACAAGUCGAGCAGGGACGAAAGUCGGUCUUAGUGAUCUGACGGUACUGAGUGGAAAGGCCGUCACUCAACGGAUAAAAGUUACUCUAGGGAUAACAGGCUGAUCUCCCCCAAGAGUUCACAUCGACGGGGAGGUUUGGCACCUCGAUGUCGGCUCAUCGCAUCCUGGGGCGGUAGUACGUCCCAAGGGUUGGGCUGUUCGCCCAUGAAAGCGGUACGCGAGCUGGGUUCAGAACGUCGUGAGACAGUUCGGUCCAUAUCCGGUGUAGGCGCUAGAAUAUUGAGAGGAGCCUUCUUUAGUACGAGAGGACCGAGAAGGACACACCGCUGGUGUACCAGUUAUCGUGCCAACGGUAAACGCUGGGUAGCUAUGUGUGGAGUGGAUAACCGCUGAAAGCAUCUAAGUGGGAAGCCCACCUCGAGAUGAGUAUUCUCAUC